CCUUUUAGGCGACCAUCCCAACGCAAUUCAAUUCUCAACCUCUCAAUCUCAUCUCUUCUCCUCCACCAAACCAAAAACCAAAACCAAAACCAGAACAACUUCUCAUCUCCUCCAUUAAAAAAAAAAACCACCAACCAUGAUCUGUAUCUUAGAAGGGCUCGUUCUUUUGCUUCAUACGUAAUUUUCUCUGGUGGUCUUUGAUGUGGAUUUUCACUUUAUUGUUAUUCAUGGAUCUUUCUUCUCCAACAAAAAAAUAAAAAUCGAUGUAUACGCAUCUACAAAGGUCAGAUCUGAAGGUCUUUGUUAUGGCUUGGACUGUCUGCGUGUCCUGAUUUAAGAAUUCUGCUCGAGAGAGACGAUGAAGCCGAAACCCGGAAUUUUGUUUUUGUUACCUAGAACAACAGAAUCAAGAGGAGCUGAGCGAACAAAAUCAGCUUUGGACUUGAUUCCCGCCCUUAAGUUGGCGUUAAUUGAGCCGUAGAUUCAGACUUUAGGCUUGGCAGAUGAUUAUUUACCAUCUCGGUCUUUCGCGACACUUCGAAGGGUACGUUUGGUCUGUUUUCUCUUCGUUUUCUAUUUCCAUUUUCCAUUUCUGUUUGUUUCUGUUUUGUUAAGAAUAGAAAACUUGUUUGGUUUGAAAUACUGCAAAUUGUUUUCCAUUUUCUGUUUAAUUAAGCGAUGUAUUAAUUAAUUAACCAUGAUUAUUUUUUAAACUUACUAAGUAACUAUAAUAAAAACGAUGACUCUUUUUUUUUUUUUAAUUACAAAUGUAAAGCAAUACUACACUUAAAUCCUCUCAAUUCUUGUUUUAAAUCAAAGGUUACACCUAUAUUCACAAGUGCUGAGAAAUUUCACACCGACCAAAUAUACUUUGUGGUAUCCUCAAAUGAUGUCCUGAAUCGAUUGAGAUUGUCUUUAUUGCUCCCAAACAUAACACUUUUAGUGGAUCAUGCAUCACCUGCUACUGUGUUGCCAUUGUUGACUGUAGAACCUCAUAUGGGAUCACUGUUGUAAAUUCCCUCCAUUGCGAGGGGAAGAAAAGCUACUUAUGAAAACAAAGACAUUUGUCUUAUAUACUGCUAUAUUACUUCUGUGUAAGUCUACUAUUAUUUGACUAUUUAGUUAUUUAUAUAUUUUUGUUGUUUAUUUUUUUUGAUUAUUUACCAUCUCUGUCUUUUGCGUCACUUCGUGUUUAAUUCUUUCUAUUCGAUUCGUCUGGUUUUUGGUUCCUGGUACCAUUUUGUUAGUAGCGGGCCUCUUGCUAUAGUACUGACUAUGCAUAGGACUACUAAAGGUGAAAAGACAGGAUGUAUUCCGACCGAAAUGCUAAUUCGGUUUGCACGGUUGCAAACGGCAAAGAACAGAUGAGGUAGUGAGGUGUCCCCUUUGCUUUCAAGAAAUUGAGGUGGAGUAGGGAAAAAUAUAUAUAUAUGAGAAGUCCAUGUCUGGUUGCAAUUAUUGUUGUGGAAUACUGGAAUGGAAUAGUUAAUUAGUUAUUCCAUCAAAUGGUAGAGUUACAAUUUCUCACCGAGUAUGCUAGUAUUGGAUUGGCCCAUUUAAUCAAUAAUGGAUUUAACCCCAGUUUUGUCCAGGACGGGCUUAGUAAUUAACGGAUUUGCCCAUUUAAUCAUGAAUGGAUUUCAACCCAGCUUUGUCAAUGAUGGACUGUAAGGGGCCCGCUUGGGGCAUCUGUCUCUCUAAAUCCAAGCUGGGGAAGCCGAAGUUAUCGAAGUCUUCGUCAGGAGUCAACUGUCAGAGCGGCAUCUAUGCUGGCGGUGCAAAACAGCAAAAGCAAUUAGGCAACACGAGAUACAGAGUGACAGUGGACUCGCGUACUGCUAAGUGAUUAGCCGCACACUAGACAGAGCGGGAAGGACCGAUUUGGGUAGGGAGAGAGACCACAAUCCGGUUGGGGUUUGGAAUUUAAUUUAUGUUUCUUUGAUGUUGUUUAGACCUUAGAUAGUACACUGUCUGGUUGUCUUGUUUGAUGAAUGAUGCGGAAUGGUAUACCGUGUGGUUGUCUUGUUUGAUGAAUGAUGCAUAUUGUUUUCAUGUCUUGUAUGUUCGGAUCAUCAGGUUCUUUUUUCUUUUGGAUCUAAACUCUAGUUGGAACGGAACCAUUUGUCAUUCUUACUUGGUUUAAUUUUCUACACAUAUCUUCUU